AAGCACUCUUGCUGGAUGGCCAGUAUGCUGCUGAACUGAAGCAGCCCUGCUUUUAUUGUGUGUUGCUCUGUGGUCCCGCUGGGGCUGCAGUGCCAGCCCAGCAAACUGCCCUGCCAGCAGCUGACACCAUCCACCUGCACCUCACCCAUCGGAGGCAAUCUGCAAGCUGCAACAGAGGAGGAGAAAGUCCAUGCUGUAUUUAUUAGAUGACGGUUCAGUGAUAAAUAAAUGGAGUGUGCUUGAGCUGGCGGCCUCCCACACGCCAUCGCUCCUUGUCCUGCGGCUCCCGCUGUCUGCCUGGACACAGAGCUGUGAGUGGAAAAGGGACUGUCCUCAAAAGGCACCGCAGGCUGCACUGCUGCUGGCAGGCAAAAACCACCUUUGCCUAUCCAGGACACUUACAGUACUGCUGAUCGGCUCUCCUUGCAACCAAGGAAGUGUCAGAUGAGUGUUUUCUGCUUGCUACAUCCUAGGAAAAAAAAAAGUAUCCAAUCGGCUUGGUUUGGGAAAUGAGUUUUGCUCAAUGUUACCAGCUCUUCAGAAGCCACCAGGCAACCUGUGAGACUGUCAGCGGCCAGGCUUAAAUCAGCCUGCUCAGGGGCGACAGCCCUGAUGCGCCCUGUCAGCCAGGAG